rnacentral:rRNA from 1 species
UACGUAGGGAGCAAGCGUUGUCCGGAAUCAUUGGGCGUAAAGCGCGCGUAGGUGGCCUCAUAAGUCCGCUGUGAAAGUCAAAGGCUCAACCUUUGAAAGCCGGUGGAUACUGUGAGGCUAGAGUACGGAAGAGGCGAGUGGAAUUCCUGGUGUAGCGGUGGAAUGCGUAGAUAUCGGGAGGAACACCUGAGGCGAAGGCGGGCUACUGGGCCGAUACUGACGCUGAUGCGCGAAAGCCAGGGGAGCGAACGGG